rnacentral:tRNA from 1 species
GGUGGCUCAGUGGUAGAGUGCUUGCCUAACAUGCAUGAGACCCUGGGUUCAAUUCCUCAGCACCA